rnacentral:rRNA from 1 species
AACGAACGCUGGCGGCAGGCCUAACACAUGCAAGUCGAACGCCGUAGCAAUACGGAGUGGCAGACGGGUGAGUAACACGUGGGAACGUACCUUUCGGUUCGGAAUAACUCAGGGAAACUUGAGCUAAUACCGGAUACGUGCGAGAGCAGAAAGAUUUAUCGCCGAAAGAUCGGCCCGCGUCCGAUUAGCUAGUUGGUGAGGUAAUGGCUCACCAAGGCGACGAUCGGUAGCUGGGUCUGAGAGGAUGAUCGGCCACACUGGGACUGAGACACGGCCCAGACUCCUACGGGAGGCAGCAGUGGGGAAUAUUGGACAAUGGGCGCGAGCCUGAUCCAGCCAUGCCGCGUGAGUGAUGACGGCCCUAGGGUUGUAAAGCUCUUUCGCCAGGGACGAUAAUGACGGUACCUGGAUAAGAAGCCCCGGCUAACCUCGUG